rnacentral:sRNA from 1 species
GAUAAAAAUAAUUUUUUUGCAGGCAGUUGGAUGGCAACCAUCAGGGGCCAGAUUAACACGAAAUGAGGAGGAUUCCGGAAGUUAACGCACAAAAGGAGGAUCAGGGCGCAGAUUUUCCGCCAGGAAGCGCUCGCCCCAAACAAAAGCGAGAGAUGGGUUUCUCGCUAUAUUAUACU